rnacentral:rRNA from 1 species
CAGUCGAACGAUGAAGCCCUUCGGGGUGGAUUAGUGGCGAACGGGUGAGUAACACGUGGGCAAUCUGCCCUGCACUCUGGGACAAGCCCUGGAAACGGGGUCUAAUACCGGAUAUGACCGUCCAUCGCAUGGUGGAUGGUGUAAAGCUCCGGCGGUGCAGGAUGAGCCCGCGGCCUAUCAGCUAGUUGGUGAGGUAGUGGCUCACCAAGGCGACGACGGGUAGCCGGCCUGAGAGGGCGACCGGCCACACUGGGACUGAGACACGGCCCAGACUCCUACGGGAGGCAGCAGUGGGGAAUAUUGCACAAUGGGCGAAAGCCUGAUGCAGCGACGCCGCGUGAGGGAUGACGGCCUUCGGGUUGUAAACCUCUUUCAGCAGGGAAGAAGCGAAAGUGACGGUACCUGCAGAAGAAGCGCCGGCUAACUACGUGCCAGCAGCCGCGGUAAUACGUAGGGCGCAAGCGUUGUCCGGAAUUAUUGGGCGUAAAGAGCUCGUAGGCGGCUUGUCACGUCGGUUGUGAAAGCCCGGGGCUUAACCCCGGGUCUGCAGUCGAUACGGGCAGGCUAGAGUUCGGUAGGGGAGAUCGGAAUUCCUGGUGUAGCGGUGAAAUGCGCAGAUAUCAGGAGGAACACCGGUGGCGAAGGCGGAUCUCUGGGCCGAUACUGACGCUGAGGAGCGAAAGCGUGGGGAGCGAACAGGAUUAGAUACCCUGGUAGUCCACGCCGUAAACGGUGGGCACUAGGUGUGGGCAACAUUCCACGUUGUCCGUGCCGCAGCUAACGCAUUAAGUGCCCCGCCUGGGGAGUACGGCCGCAAGGCUAAAACUCAAAGGAAUUGACGG